rnacentral:rRNA from 1 species
UACACACCGCCCGUCACGCCAUGGAAGCUGGGGGGACCCGAAGCCGGUGGGCGAACCGCAAGGGCGCAGCCGUCUAAGAUCAACUCAGUGACUGGGGCG